rnacentral:rRNA from 1 species
GAUUAACGCUGGCGGCAUGCCUUACACAUGCAAGUCGAACGGCAGCACGGGUGCUUGCACCUGGUGGCGAGUGGCGAACGGGUGAGUAAUACAUCGGAACGUACCUUAUCGUGGGGGAUAACGCAGCGAAAGCUGUGCUAAUACCGCAUACGCCCUGAGGGGGAAAGCGGGGGAUCGCAAGACCUCGCGCGAUUAGAGCGGCCGAUGCCUGAUUAGCUUGUUGGUGGUGUAAAGGCCCACCAAGGCGACGAUCAGUAGCUGGUUUGAGAGGACGAUCAGCAACACUGGGACUGAGACACGGCCCAGACUCCUACGGGCGGCAGCAGUGGGGAAUUUUGGACAAUGGGGGCAACCCUGAUCCAGCAAUGCCGCGUGAGUGAAGGAGGCCUUCGGGUUGUAAAGUUCUUUUGUCAGGGAAGAAACACCGGCUCUAACACAGUCCGGGAAUGACGGUACCUGAAGAAUAAGCACCGGCUAACUACGUGCCAGCCGCCGCGGUAA